AAUCGCCACACACAUCGGCCGCAAGACUCUUCUAAAGGUGACGAGUGGGACCCUUAAAGGCACCAUAUUCUUUCAUUGUCUAACAAGGAGCUGAGUGGGAAAUUUCAGGAAAACUCAUCACGUUCUUUUUUUUUUUUUUGCUUCAUCGGUGAGGAGUUUGCGCUCACCUUUGUGGGUCAGUAAAGCCUCGUCCAAGAACUCAGCGGUGGGCCGAAAGUGUGGAGAGAUGUCGACGUCAGGGAAGUCAUCUACUUCAACGCCCAUGUCUGCUGGGGGCCUCCAGGCGGUCCUGAACCAUCGCUCUCUGGAUGUCCAGCACGCAGGGUGUGUUGUAGGGGCUGCGGUCAUCAAUCAUGUCCCGCACUCUGUUGUAGAGGUCCUCCACCAUCAGCUGCUCUGCGGUUUCAAGCAUGGACUCAGGGAUCGACUCAGCGCGGACACCUCGAGGCGGCAAUUCUGGGAAUGACAGAAAAGCGGAGUUUCUUUUGAACGGGACAGACAAGCUUAUCCGUAUGCAAUGGUUGACUGCCAGAUCAUCUCACUCAAGUCAUCCGCUCAACUCAUUAGGUGAUGGAGGAAUCCAGACAGUCGCCUGCAUCGAGUUAAUUGGCUCAUUUGACACAAAUCAUAUUCCUCUUCAGAUUUACUGGGAUCGCAGCAGUUUAAUAGGAAAUCCAUGUUUUAUCUGAUGGCCUUUUAAUUAUCUUCCUGCUGCUUGUGCUGUGCGUUGACGUCCUGCUGGGAGCUGAAAUGGUCACCGUGGGAGCUCUAGUCGCGAAUAAUCAAUGUGAACACUGACAGAACUUGUAAAGCUUUCUUGAUUCUUUCAACUUCAGAGGAUCUGGUUCAAAAAAAAAUCUUUAAAUAGUUCAGGUGGUAUCCUUUGGUGGACAACUUGGAGACCGCUGUGCUGAUCAAAUAAGAAAAAAAAAUCUUACACUUGUUGCCUGAUGUGAGUAUCAAACCAUGUCUCACCCUCAUUGAUGAUCUUCUUGGCGGCGAUGGCAGAUGACAAAUGGAUGGGCUCCAUGAAAAUACUGGUGGCAUCUGAGCCCGAGAUGGCAGAAAAUCUGGACCCUGACAUCAUAGAGAGGCUGGAAAUGGUACAGACCAAGUUAUCCAGGAUCAAGCAUACCUUGGCUUGAAGUGUUAAAAAAAAAAAAAAACAUUACCUGGGUG